UCUCCGUUGGUGAACCAGCGGAGGGAUCAUUACCGAAGUUACCUUCAAAACCCACUGUGAACCUUACCUCUUGCCGCGUUGUCUCGGCGGGAGGCGGUGUGCGUCGCGCGCCCUAGCGGGCCGCGCCGCUCCCGUCCCCGCCGGCAGCGCCAAACUCUAAAUGCACAGCGGACUGUACAUUCUGAUUUACAAAAAAAAACAAGUUAAAACUUUCAACAACGGAUCUCUUGGUUCUG
rnacentral:misc_RNA from 1 species